CGGACCGAGGGUCAGUGGUGUGAGGAGAUGGACACGGACUGAGGACAAAUGCUGAGGUGCCCCAAGAUCAGUCCAUGCUAUAGUAACAUACUGAAAUGCUCUACUUAUUGAAAUGCUGACAGGAACUUGCUAGGAAAACAUUUGGAAUUAAGACUCUGUGUUUCCCAUUUCUGGUGCCUUGUGAAGAAGCUGAGGCAGCAGCACCACUGAAAGCUGAGAAACUCCCACUCUCCUCACUGCUACAAAGUCCUGUUUUAGCACAGAAACAGAAGGAAUGGAAGGUUUGGUUUCUUUUCCCUCACUCCUACUCAAACCCCAUCUCCCACUAACAUUUCUGAUACACUGUCAGGAUUCCUGAUGUUCCCUAUCAAACUCUGGAAGCCUUUCCCUUUUAAUGACUCAUGAACAGCCUGGAGGUGUUGAGAGAGGAAAAAGAGAAGUGAAAUUUGUGUGUUGGAUGUUCUUGCCUUGCCACACAUCAAAAAGCACCAGCGUGAGUGGUGACAGCCCUGCUCUGAGAGUAAACCUGCAUUUGUGAUUUUAUCAGUGCCCUGUUUGAAAGCACUGAGAGCAUUUGUCACUUUUAUUGGCUUUAAAGUCACACAGGCAGCUUGAGCUGGAGAUGACAGGAAGAUAAAUCUGCUGGCUACAGUCAGUGGCAGCCCUGUGGCAUUUGUCACAUCCUCAGCACCUGUGGCACUCGCACUUUGUCAGAGCCACCUCCUGUCCUCACAAGGCUGUUUGGACAAGGCACUUAAGAAAAACCAGAUUAAAUGCCCAAAUCUUUAUUGUCCACAUCAAAAGAAAUGCACAUGGGCAUGAUUUUCUUCUUCUCCAGGUGCCUGAAAGUGCUGCCAGGAAAUGUUCCUGAGGUAUUCCAACUGGUGCUGGCCUCGGGGCAGCUGGAAAAUGAAAAAAAGCCUCAUCUUUAUGCCAUACCACAGAGCUGAAAGCUUUGCGUGCUCCUAAAGGGCUUGCAGGAAUCCCUCAGUGUCGGACAAAACUGAUUCCUGUUCCCUGAAUUUCAAAGCAGGAGCAAACAGAGCAGCACUGGCAGGAGCUGGGAUGGGAUGAGCUUCUCCUGCUGCACCAGGUCCUGCAGCAGAUCCCUCCUGUGGCAGCUCAGCUCCUCUUGGAUUGCUCCUUAUGAACAUCAGGAGGGAAAAAUCCUUUUUUAAAAACAUCCAACGAGGUCCCAGUGAGUUUGUUUAUUAAAGAAGAAUCACCCCAAGUGGAGUCUGGGGGUGAUUUGGGAGCUGCAGAGCUGUCAGCAAUACUCACCUGCCACGGGCUGCACCAAACAAACAAGUACAGCUGCUUUAAAAGUGCACAACAAGAGUUUA